rnacentral:rRNA from 1 species
AGUGGGGAAUAUUGCGCAAUGGGGGGAACCCUGACGCAGCAACGCCGCGUGAGUGAAGAAGGCCUUCGGGUUGUAAAGCUCUGUCAAUGGGGAAGAAUAAAAGUACGUAAAAAGCGUAUAAGAUGACAGUACCCAAGGAGGAGGCCACGGCUAACUACGUGCCAGCAGCCGCGGUAAUACGUAGGUGGCAAGCGUUGUCCGGAAUUAUUGGGCGUAAAGGGCGUGUAGGUGGUCAAACAAGUCAGGUGUGAAACCCCGGGGCUUAACUUCGGGCAUGCAUUUGAAACUGAAAGACUUGAGGGCAAGAGAGGGAAGUGGAAUUCCUAGUGUAGCGGUGAAAUGCGUAGAUAUUAGGAGGAACACCAGUGGCGAAGGCGACUUUCUGGAUUCAAACUGACGCUGAGGUACGAAAGCGUGGGUAGCAAACAGGAUUAGAUACCCUGGUAGUCCACGCCGUAAACGAUGUCAACUAACCGUUGGGUUCUUAAGGAACUUAGUGGUGGAGCUAACGUAUUAAGUUGACCGCCUGGGGAGUACGGCCGCAAGGCUA